rnacentral:rRNA from 1 species
UACGUAGGGUGCGAGCGUUGUCCGGAAUUAUUGGGCGUAAAGGGCUCGUAGGCGGUUUGUCGCGUCGGGGGUGAAAACCUUGGGCUUAACUCAGGGCUUGCUUUCGAUACGGGCAGACUAGAGGUAUGCAGGGGAGAACGGAAUUCCUGGUGUAGCGGUGAAAUGCGCAGAUAUCAGGAGGAACACCGGUGGCGAAGGCGGUUCUCUGGGCAUGAUCUGACGCUGAGGAGCGAAAGUGUGGGGAGCGAACGGG